rnacentral:rRNA from 3 species
CCGCGACCCCAGGUCAGACGGGAACACCCGCUGAGUUUAAGCAUAUAAAUAAGCGGAGGAGAAGAAACUUACAAGGAUUCCCCUAGUAACGGC